rnacentral:lncRNA from 1 species
AUUUUUGAAUCAACGAGAGCAGUGUCGGCCCAGGUAUCUUCUUCCAUCUCUGGAUCCUAAACUAUAUAUCUCUCUAAUCUGCAUUGACACGCAGUAGUGCCGGGUACAAGUGUGUGGCUGCUCCAGUGCCACCACAUGCCCCAGUACCGCCCAAACGUGGAUGCAGGUGGACGUGGGCACCGUGGCCGCCACCAAGGAUGUAGGGGUCCCGCCACAAUCGGCGAGGACGCGGUAGGCGUGUCGAAAUUGUCAAAGACACAGGAGCCGUACUGCGGCCUUGGUGUUUUUCCUAAUUUCUUUAGGUAUGUGAGGUCGAUUUAAACUUCACAUAUAUGCUGAAAUUCAGACACCGAAGAACCAGCAGUGGAGUUAGAUGAAAUUUCUUGCGAGAGCUACACCAUUCUUUUUAGUACUGACUAAUUCUCAUGAGUACCAGUGGUGAAAUUUUCAGGCCUAAAUACUGGAUGAGAUUCUCAUUGCCGGCAUUCUUCAUGAACCUAUCAAGGAGAACAUUUCAAUACUAAUUGCAGCACAUGUUUUCUCACCACCGGCUAGCAAGAAGAGAGUAUGAUUUUCUAAUGCUCAGUGUUGUAAGCUUGAUUCACGAGGAGCUUCUCAAUGUUGUACAUGUUGUUUGUGAGUAACAGAAAUAAAUCAUUUCCUGGAAUCAGACGCUAUAUUUUCUGUGGGAAUUCGUUGACACAGUUCCUUACAACAGUGAGAAUCUUCGAAAUGGGCAAACCGCUCUAUGUAAUUCUAUCAUCCAUUCUGAUUUUGAGACAAGUAUAUCAUUUAUCUUUUUCCUUCUAGCAAGGUACCAUAUACAUGUUUUGAAAUUCUCCUUUGCCUUCCAGAUCAACCAAAUAGGCAUCUUUUAACAAAUGGAGGGAAUUCAUUUGUCAAUAUAAAUAGAUUUGUCACAGGGGAUCUUAUCUUAUUUCUUCAGUAUAAGCAAAUGAACAGUGCGAUGAAGUUAACGACUCUCUAUCCUUAUUCCUCUUAUUCAUUGUGUAUUUCCCCGUUUUAUACAUGUAACAAUGAUGAAUGAUGAUGAACUUAGACUUGGUGUAAGGAGAGUCAUUCUGUUUCCUUGAACAAAACAACCCUCUAUCCUUAUAUAUCCUAAAAGCUUUCAGACGAUACUCACACCAUAUGAUUCGUUGAAGCAUAGAAGUAUUUUUUUCACAUCUGUUACAAUCCAAUAUUUGUUAGUUAAUCAUAUUCUUUAUAUUCGCAAGUAGUAUAAAGUUGCCCCAAAAUUGGUAAUAUGAUUUUGGAUUAUACAUUAUAUGCCGACAAGGAGAUUAAUGCUGCCCAAUAAACUAGCAGUAUGAAAUAACCCUGCAUAUAUUUGUUGAUUUUUAAUUUGAGCCUUUCAAUUCAACUAAAAAAUUUAUUUGUACAAUAUUUACUGACUUUUACCUCUUGUUUUGCAGGCUAUCUGGAAUGAUUGCAUGUAUUAAUGAAGUAGUCCACGUUAGGUGGAUUGGCUCAAAAUGGAGAAGCAUGAUUGUAUUAAGCAUUUAAGCUCUAAGCAAUUUAGAAUGUCAAUGUCUUGGGGCUCCCUUGCAAUAUUUCAGAGAACUAUAUUUUUUCAGACAUUUUAUAUUGCCUCACGAUGUUUGGGGGAUCUGAUUAGGUAUUGUUUCUCUAUAUAUCUAUCCAUCUCUCUAUUUUAGUUGCUAAUAGAAUAAUGAACAAUUGAUAGGACUAAUCUUAUAGACUUGUGUUCUCCUCAGUCCGACUGUGUAUUUUCCAAGUUUUGUGCUAAAACGGGAAAAAACAUAUGUUUUAAACUUGUGACAACAUAUUCUCUGUGCAAAUUUUAGCCUUGUUGUUCACAAUUGAUGCUGCCUGUGAUUCACACUUAUAUUUGAGCUUAAAGUCUGAGUGUAUACCGAAUUAGGCUUUCCCUUCGGUCGGUUUAUGUCAGAGUUCACACUACAACACACAUUUCCUUUUGAGUCUUAUGUGAGUUACUUUUGAACCAAUACACCAAAUCAGGCGUUACACCGCUCAAACAAACUAGAAGAAAAUCAUCAAUGGAUUUAUCACAAUAUUAUAAAAAUACAAAUAAAUGUAUACACAAUUUUUUAACAAUAAAUGUUAUCAAAGAUUGAUGUAUUUACCUCUCCCAAGAUAGUAACAUGUUCUAGAAGAUGUGUUUUGUUGCAGUAGUACCUAAAUGGUGAAUUGCAUGUUCUAGAAUAUAGGCUUUUGCAUAUUGCAAUCAAGGUCUUUUUUUAUGGAAUUGAGUUUCUGGUUGUAACUUGUUCGAACAUUUGUUUAAAGGGAACAAAAUAUUCCAUGUGUUUAUCUUCAAUUAAUGGAUAAUAACAAUACACUUGCUUUUGUGAGAUGGUAUCUUAAGCAUAAAUAAUAAAGGCAUUUAAGUGUUAUUAUCAUUUGUAAUGUAGAGCACAAUAAAGAGUUCAAUGUUUUUGUAGCCCCUUCUUUAUUUUGUGAAUCAUAUAUGAUAGGUCUUCCUAUUAUACGGUCGAUUUUUUUAUCAAAAUACAUUGCGAGUGAAGGGGAUUUUAAAUCAUUUUUUUGUGUUAUUGGCUAUCUUUUCUGUUCAUAUUAAAUUCGAUAUGCAACCAGUACAAAUUUUACAAAGCCCGUGGCAGCGCACGGGCUGUCUACUAGUUAAACAUAAGAGCGUGGUUACAGAGCGCAUCCUGCUAGAUAGUAGGGAUAAUUAGCGUUCGUGGCCACUUAGCAAUGCAAGUUUUAUCAGAACUUACGACAAGGUAGAUCCAACCAUUUUCUGUUUUAGUUAUUAUUCUUUAUUCUUUUUUCCUUUUUUUCAAGAAAUUUCCUUCCUAAAAAAUUAUUCAGAAAUUUGCAAAAGUUGUUUAAAAUUUCACAAAAAAUUAGGCUUUUCAAAAAAGGUUCGUGUUUUUGUUUGUUCAAAAUGCCAAAAAAUGUUCUCGAUCCCAAAAUUUGUUUAAAAAUUCAAACAAAUGUUCAUGUUCUCAAAGCAUUGUUUAAAAUUUUCAGAAAAGUCCAAAAAGUUCAGAAAUUAUUCUCUUCUUUGGAAAAAAUUUCGAGAUUUAAGAAAAUGUUCAUGUUUACGAAAAACCUGAUUUUUCUUCAAAACAUCAAUUUUUUAUGAUCGCAACCACUUUGUAAUUUUUUAAUGGAAUUCAAACAGCCGAACAUUUAAAAAAAAUUACAAACAUUUUUUUCGUAUUUUCAGGAAAUUUCAAAAACUUUAGAAAUUCUUUGAUUCUUUGAAAAAUGUUCAAGAUUUAAAAAAAUCUUUAUGUUUAUAAGAAAAGCCAUUUAAAAAAAAUGAAGGUUUUAUGAUUGAAAACACUUUUUAAAUUUUGUAAAUAGAAAAAAAUCAAGCAUUUUCUACAAAAGGGAAUAUUUGAAGAUUUUUUCCAUACUUUCCUUACAUUGAGUGGAUGAAAAUAAGUUAAGCACGAAGAAACUUUAUAUAGUUGUUGCGCUGUUGGGCCUUGUAGGCCGACAACCACGUCUCUACUUCUAGAGUGAGCACAAAAUCAGCGAAGAAUAAUAUGUCCUGUAGCGGGAUCAAACCGACCCACUUUUUGCUUCGUAUAGACGGUACCGGCUGGGCUGGUUUUCGUCUCUAUCCAAGGUUUGUUUAUAUUGAUUAAUAGUAACACAUCACAGUUUUACAGUAAAUUCCAUCUAUUUAUAUAUGUUAGUCAUCAACAAGCCUCUUAGGGAAUUGAACAAAAUAGAGGAAGGUGCAUGUCCCAUUUCUAAGAACGAAGGAAUUAACUUGAUAAUUUUGCGGGUUAGACCCAAUAAAUAAGGACAUGCACAGAGAGUACAAAAAGAGAGGCCCCAUAAAGAUGGGAUGUGCGCUAUAAAAGAAAUAAAAGAGCGGAAUUACAAACAAAUCCGAGAAGAUCAGAUAAAAUAUGGGAUGUGUGCUAUUAUAGGAGAGGCCCUAUAAAGAUGGAAAAUGCACUCUAUAAAGAAAUAAAAGAGAGGGCGUACGGCAAAAAAAUCCGAAGAGAACCAGUAAAAGAUGGGAUGUGCGCCAUAAAAGAAAUAAAAGAUACAAUAAGAAUUAAGGCUGGUCGUAGUGGAGAGUAUCAUAUACUAGUACCAUGUAUAUGAUACUAGUGUAUGAUACUACAUCCUAGUGCAUAGUAUCAUAGAUUAGCAUCAUAGAUGACGGAGUUUGAGAGGUAGUCCACAAGCGGAUGCAGAUUGUGUUCUGUAUCGGCAGCAUCUGGAAGAUGGUGAAUCAUGUGUUAGGUUCGUGGUUCAUGGUUCAUGGCAGGUAGGUAUGGUUUCCUUCUCCAGCAUCUUAGUCGUGCUGAGCAGUCAUGAGUCCCCGCAAGCAGGAUGGCAUCAGUCAGAUGCCUCCACCACGGCCGUUGACCGCUGUGAGGCGCCUAAGCUCGGCACGGCCGUCGUCGACCCCCAUCAUGUCGUUCCCAACCAUCAUCGGUCGCCCCCCUCCCCCUACUACAAUUGCAACGACAUAGUUGCAAAGGGCGACGACGAAGGCAACAUUGCUGCUCAAUAUCAUCUUCACUGUAUUUUUUUGCAACAUUACCUAUGUUGUGAAAGUUUCUUCAAUCACCUAUGUUGCAAAAAGGUGAAGAAAAAAAAAA